AACUCUCUCUCCUCCUACUCUAUGGCUGGGUCAUGGUGGGACGUAGCCCAGCCCCCCGUGAAGUGACCCAGCCUCAGUUUACCCUGCCCCAGCUGUCAAACAUCAGCCCCUCCCAACAUCCACGGAAAUUUCUGGCUCCAUCCUCCACACCCUUCCCUAUUAAAGGGAUACUGCCCCAGCCUCCCUGCUGCGCAGGGGAAAGGCAAGCUGGAGAUGGGGGUGCGGGGGGUCAAUCACUUUCUAGUGCACAGAUCACUGGCCGAGCCUUGGGUGACCAGGCUUCCCUUCCUGCCUCCGCCCUGUGGGGUGAGUCACCUCUCCUGCCUCAGUUUCCCCAUCUGUAAACUAGAGAUAAUGAUCCUGACCCUCCUUUGUGAUGCGCUCUGAGAUCUACAGAUGUAAAAGUGCUAGCUAAGAUUAUUAGUCAGCAGGCACUCCGCUGUGACAGCUGGAGCCCUUCCUCUCCCUUCCCCCCUCCCGGCCACGGGGUGUUCAAUGGGGAGCGAGUGACCACGCCAGGGCUGUCCCCUGUUGGCACCUGGGGGGUAAUUUGACUAUAAAAGUGGCGGCCUGGCUAACAUCCGUCCCCCAUGGUCCUUGGCGAACACACCUAUUGCUCCCCUGCCUUCGGGACCCAGCCUGUUUCUCAAUUCUCAGUGAUGAGGUCGUGUGACGCGCGCCUUCCGGCCAAAGUGUUUCCGCUUUUCUCUGGCUUCUUGGCACGUUUGCUGUGAGCACAACGGAACGUGAAAGGGAAAUUGUCCCAGCUGGGUGGUGUCUGAAUCCUUCGUCCACUGCGUGCUGGAGGAAACGAAGAGGCAGGGGAGUUUUGCUGCCUCUGCCCCCCAAGGGUUUGAAUCGCCCGCUCAUCAGGCCCUUAUCUGCCCAAUGGAUCUAUGUCACAUUUUCUGAGUCUGUCGUAUUUUCGAGAAGUUUUCUGACCUUUCACAGCUGACAUCUAUGGCUGUCUGCCAGGCAGUCACCGGCCGCCAGUGCUUUCACGGACAUGACGUAGCGCUAUUUCUGAAAUGCCUAGAACAGAGCCCUAAAGAAAUGAGAGGAAAAAACUCCGAGACGGGAAGUGAUGCAAGACACUGGGCUAGUUCUGAAUUAUCCAGAGGGGUUUCUUUUCUGAUCUCCUCCGCUUCUCGUGCCAUCUCCAAUGCUUCACAAAAAGAGCAGGAGCCACCACCACCUACAUUUCUCUAGGCACAAGCAUUGGAUGAGAAUAACGUGGGAUAUUGCAGGAGGGGCAGGCGCUGGGCGAAGCAGGAAUUUGCCAGGCACACGGCUCGUGCAUUUCACCGUGCCUUAGAUCAUCACCGGAGAACCAGCGUUAGGGACAUCAGGUGAAGCCCAGCUCAGCGUCAUUGUGGCUGGAGAACCCGAAUCCCUCUGGAAUGUGUCCCAUGAGCUGAGGCAACACACCGCCAGGACCCAAGAGGUCUGGAAAGGCCGGGUGUGAGACCACAAUGUCCCACACCAACGGGAAACCCCACACCAGGUUCAAGAGCUCACUGGGGACAUGGAUCUGGCCAGGUUAUGUUCCCAUCCCCAGCUGCUUAGCAUGGAGACCCUGCAGAGUGUGCGGGAUACUCUGGAGAGUCAGGGAAUGCUAGACGAGGACCUGAGAGCCGGCUUUAAGCGGGCCCUGGAGGAGUUCCCCUGGGAGCCCCCAUGUGUGCAGAACAACGCCCGAUGGUCAUCCAGAGCGACGAGACUGAGCUGACAUUCCUCUCUGGAAGGCAAACAUAAGAUCAGGAUCUCUGACAACGGCGCCUGCUAUGAGGUGAAAGAGCCAAAGGCCCAGGUAUACCUGGCCAGGUUACGCUCCCGUCCACAGAAGCUGAGCACCAAGUCCCUGCGGGAUGUGCGGGAUGCGCUGGAGAAGUGGGAGUUGCUGGACGAGGACCUGAGAGCCUGCUUUGAGUGGGUCUUGGAGGAAUUCCCCCGGGAGCCCCGGUGUGGUGCAGCGCAAUGCCCGGAUGGUGAUUAGACAUGACCACACCGAGCUGGUGUUUGUUGUCGGGCCAGGGGGAAUGUGGAGAUCACUGUGUCCGAAGGCGACAGGGAGCCCUGCUACGAGGUGAAGGAGCCCACAGUGGCGGUGUUUCGGGAGAGGUUACGCACUUGCCCACAAAGGCUGAGUGUGGAAAACCUGGAGAGAAUUCGGGGAAGGCUGGAGUCCUGGGAGGUGAUGACCAAGGAGCUGAGACGCUGCUUCGAUCUGGUGCUGAGGGAAAUCCGCAAGGAGCCUGAGUGUGUCCAGAACAACCCCAGGAUGUGCAUCACCUGGGAGGAGAUGAAGCUGCGGCUGAUCUCCGUAGAUGGGGACUGCGAGGUCUCCGUGACCUGCUGUGAUGGGAAACCCAGCUACGAGGUGAAGGUCAAGAGCUGGGCAAUGUAUCGGGAGAAGAAUGGCGUCUCUCUGCAGAGCCACACGCAUUGAGAACCUGGAGGGUGUGCGGAGGGAGGUGAUGGGUCUGUCGGGGACUCCCGAGAAGGUCAAGGAGGCCUUGAACGUGCCGUUAGGGAUUUCUCUGCUGAGCCGGGUUGCCUGCAGGAGAAUGCCCGCUGGUCAUUGAGUGCGAUGGGGGGCGAGAUGAUCUUUGUCUCUGGGAAAGGGAGAAAUAAAGUGAACGUUGCACCAUCGACGGGAAGGUCAGUUACAGCGUCAGAGCCACCGGGUGGUGACUGUCAUUAAGAUGUGGCAGAAACUACUCUGCGAGCUCUCUGAAACUUUGCUGAAGUUUAUCCCCCAAGUCUUAGUCCAAAUCCUAUCAAAGCUGAUAGUAGGUAGUGAGGUGCCUGGCCUAUACCCCCUCCCCUGCCAGAGCCAGGGAGAACCCAGGAGCCCUGCUUCCAGCCUCCCCUCCCCAUUCUAACCCACUAGAACCCUACUCCCUGCCCAUUGCCUGGGAGAGAACCCAGGAGUCCUGGCUUCCAGCCCCCCCUGCUCUAACCCACCAGACCCCACUCCCCUCCUAGAGCUGGGGAGAGAACCCAGGAGUCCUGGCUCCCAGAUUCCUUGUGACCAGGGGAGAGGGAUCCUGGGACAGUGCACACCAAACAUACAUAGCAUAUAGUGUAUAGAAACACAGCUAAAUUGAAGCUGGAAUUUGAAUUCCUACAGGAAUAGAUUAACUAUUAUAAGGCCAGAAUGAACCACCAUUAUCAUCUACUCCGAUCUUCUGUCUAAUAUCAGCCCUAGGACAUCCCUGAAUUAAUUCCUCUUUGGACUAGGGCAAGAUCUCUUAGAUCAACUUCCCAUCCCUGAUUUUAAAAUGGCCAAUAAUGGAGGUGGCUAGAAACUGGAAUAUAUAAAUGAAUUUCCUUUGCCAUAGCUAAGUGUAUCCCUGCACCUUUAAACUGCUGUCGGUCAGCUAAGUCAGGAAGCUCUUAGGAAAUCCACCUAUUGUAUGUUUCUUUCUCUAGCCUUAUAAGGCCCUAAAAAAAAUCACCAAAGAUCAGCCGUCUGUGAGCUUGUCAACAUGGGGAAAUCGACCAACGUAGUUGUAGGGGAAUACUCAGGUCAGUCUAGCGAUGCCAGCAUGAUUCCUCAUGUGGCCACUCUGUACCGCUUGACUGUGGUAUAAAGCAGAGAAUUAUAUAGCUGUAUAAUUCUCUGUUUAAUUUCCCCACAUAGACAAGCUGUUUGACCCUAAAUCUAAGUGCCUAUAUGCCUGUGGAGAUUGAUUAAUUUCUAGCCCACAGGGCUGGCUUUGUCUUUAUUGUUUUCAGCUGUAAUAUAAGGAACCUACAGGUGUGUACCCUGUAAGACAUUAGCUUAAGCAAUUUAGCAUAAGUAUAGUUAAGUAGGGUAGACCUGCGACCUUUGGCAUUGAGAUGGCCUAGCGGUUCCCUCUCAAUUUUGGGAACUAGAUAAUGAAUUGGUGACACUGGGCCAGAAAGGGUUAAGAGACUAGCAGGCUAAAUGACCCAAAUUCUACCUUGAAAGACAUAUUAGAAAAGUAUAUAAAUGAUAAUUAGGGCUAUUCAUUAUAAAUAGCUAACAAACCCAGGUUAGAUAGGCGAGAGCUUUGAAAUGUAGACUUGUACAGGUAGAGAACUGGAAGACUGUGUAUUGAUCUGUGUUUCUCUGUAUCUUGUUAGAGGUUAAUGAUGUAACCAGACUGUUCCUGUCUGUUACUAUAUUCUACUGAUUCAGGGAUCAAAGGGGAUAUUAACGUUUAGAUGGAACUUGGGUGCAAUAACAUUAUUGUCUCUAUUUCUCUUGAAGUCUGUAGUAAAACUAUGAAUGGCUUAAUGGAGAAUUACUUUACACUGAUGAAUGCAAUCACCUUGUAUACAUAGCAAUAGGAGUUUACUGCAAAGCCGCAAUGUAUAUUACUUAUUUUUCACCCAAGGAAUAGCUGCAGUCAAGAGGCUGCCAGAGAUCUGCAAAAGAACUCUCGGGCCCCCGUCCUUUAUCUCAGAUCUGCUUAAACUUGGUCAGGGAGAGCUGGAGUCGCAAGACUGAGGUGUCCAGCUCCAGUCUGGAUCACCCUGCUGGUUCUCGUGGAAGAAUUUGACCAAACUCUGUAUAUGGCCUGCUUAUUUGGACUAUAACCCGAUGAGCUGAUUCUGGGAAGAACCUUUUUGCAACUCAUCAGCCAAAAUUUCUACUAUGAACCUGCCCUAAGAAUGCACCAUUAUAUCAUACAGUCAUAUCUAUAUGUAUAAUGACCUUUUAACCACAAUAUGUUCUCUUUUCUGUUUUAAUAAACUUUAGUUUGGUUA